rnacentral:rRNA from 1 species
UACGUAGGGUGCGAGCGUUGUCCGGAAUUAUUGGGCGUAAAGGGCUCGUAGGCGGUUUGUCGCGUCGGGAGUGAAAUCCACUGGCUUAACUGGUGGCUUGCUUCGAUACGGGCAGACUGGAGGUAUGCAGGGGAGAACGGAAUUCCUGGUGUAGCGGUGAAAUGCGCAGAGUAUCAGGAGGAACACCGGUGGCGAAGGCGGUUCUCUGGGCAUGUCCUGACGCUGAGGAGCGAAAGUGUGGGGAGCGAACAGG